AGGUACCCCGCGUCCACUGCGGUUCUGAGCGCGCUGUCCGCGCCCACCUGACAGCUGCUCNGUUGUUAGCC
rnacentral:sRNA from 1 species